rnacentral:lncRNA from 1 species
UUGGGCAGGACAUCAAUUCGGAUAUUAGCAAUCCCCACCUGCCCCGUGGGUGUGCCCUUCGGGAGAUGCUGGCACGGACCAGAAAUUCCCAGGCAGACCCGUCUGAGGUCUUUCCUUUACUGUUGGCUCUGCCUAUGCAGGAGAUAUUUUGCUUUUUGCUUUAAGAUUUGGCCUGAGAGGAAAGAUGGGUGCAUGUGGGGUGGAGUGGGGAGGUGCUUUGGUAGCGCUGCGUUUCACCUUCUUCAGCUCCGUCCAUAAAACCCCGUCAUCCUGCUUCCCCUUCACUGAAGUUCUCUGGUAACAGGGCUGCUCCCAGUGAGAGGUAGGGAGGUUGUCCCUGUACCACUGUUCAAGGUCAUGGCAAGGGUACACGUUCACUGAGACCCGUCCCAAGCUUUGCUCGAUUCUAGAAGCUUCCUAGGAAUGAAGGCUUCAUGAAAUUGUAGGGGCAGGGAGUUGGGGGUGGAAACGGGGAGGGGACGUGAGCUCAAGCAGGCACUGAACUGAAAUUUGUUGGAAUUUGUCUGAUCAGGGUGCAGCGUAGCCAAGGUCCUCAGGUGAGGCUCGCUGCCCGGGGAGGGGUUAAAGCCCGUGGACAGCCCCCCAAACCCGGUUCCCGCCCAUCAUUUCCAUUUUAGACCUCGGGGUUCGAAGACCUUGGUUCAAGAAAACCUGUCUGAACUUGGAGUGCUUAUUUAGAACCACGCGGUGGUCUUGUGCGUCCUCCAGGUGGGAACGUGAGUGAGAAGGUCCGGGGUGCAGCUCUGCACAGGUGCACAGGCCGUGUCAGUGGUGCCCGCGUCUCUCCGCAGCCUGCCCGAAGCGGGCCUGGUGGCCACUUGGGGAAAAGGAAGGAUGGAGCACACCCAGCUGUGUGCCAUCGGCUGGGGCUGACACGGACCCCUGCUCCCCCGGAAAGAGGAUGGGCUGGACUUUCCAGCGGGGGGACACGGCCUCCAGAGCCCAGACGUCUCCUCUGGGUCUUUGCUGGGAGCCACAUCUCCACCAGGGCCCGCGUCCUCGCCCCCGGCCGCCCCGCCCAG